GCAGCUCAGUGGUAGAGCGUGGGAUUGCAGAUCCUAAGGUCACUUGUUCGAACCAGGUGGGGAGCU
rnacentral:tRNA from 1 species